UACGAAGGGGGCUAGCGUUGUUCGGAAUUACUGGGCGUAAAGCGCACGUAGGCGGAUUGUUAAGUUAGGGGUGAAAUCCCAGGGCUCAACCCUGGAACUGCCUUUAAUACUGGCAAUCUCGAGUCCGAGAGAGGUGAGUGGAAUUCCGAGUGUAGAGGUGAAAUUCGUAGAUAUUCGGAAGAACACCAGUGGCGAAGGCGACUGACUGGACAAGUAUUGAUGCUGAGGUGCGAAAUCGUGGGGAGCAAACAGG
rnacentral:rRNA from 1 species